CGCCACCACAAACUGUGAGGCCCAUUCCGAAUUCCAAGUGUACAACAGGGCAAAAAAAAGGUUGAUAAAUAAACAAAGCUUUGCUUUGAUGUGGAGUGAUCGAAAUAGCUGAAUCAUCAAUCAAUCCAUCUGGUUAAAAUGACAAUGAUACUGGUGACAAAUAAUGCAUACAAUUAAUUGAUUGAUCAACACAUGAAGAUAAAUUAAUUGGCAGCAUGCAUAAACAUCUAGAAUUAACAAGUGAUCAAAAUUGAUUGAGAAAAAAAAAGAAAUUAUCAACAGUGAACUAUUAAAAAUACCAAAAGGAUUAUCAAACAUUGUUUCAAUACUUUGAGAAAGUUAAAAUCAUUAUUGAUGAUUUAAAAAUGCUAAACUUUAAUGAUGAGUAUUUUUAAUGAAUGCACCACAACGAAUUUAUUGAUAGCUGUUAUGAUAUUGAAUUGAAUAAUGAUACUUGAAGAGAUAUAUUUGGUCAUUUGUUCAGCAAUGAUUCAUCAAUCAA